rnacentral:rRNA from 1 species
CGCAUCUGUGCAUGCAGCAUAUCAAUAAGCGGAGGAAAAGAAACUAACAAGGAUUCCCCUAGUAACGGCGAGUGAAGCGGGAAGAGCUCAAAUUUGAAAUCUUAAAGGGUUUCCCUUUACGAAUUGUAGUUUAAAGAAGUGUUUUCUGUUGAGGUUUUGGUAAAAGUUCUUUGGAAUAGGACAUCAUAGAGGGUGAGAAUCCCGUAUUUGACCUUUACUUUCAACUUUGUGAUACACUUUCAAAGAGUCGGAUUGUUUGGGAAUGCAGUCCAAAAUGGGUGGUAAAUUUCAUCUAAAGCUAAAUAUUGGCGAGAGACCGAUAGCGAACAAGUACCGUGAGGGAAAGAUGAAAAGAACUUUGAAAAGAGAGUUAAACAGUACGUGAAAUUGUCAAAAGGGGAGCGUUUGACACCAGUGUUGUUUUUCUGAAAAUCAAUUAAAGAACUGUUUAUGCUAAGUUGUUUAGACUUUAUCAGCUAACUGUUUAGUUUUGAGCUUUUCUUUAAUGCACUUUUCAGUUAACAAGUCAACAUCAAUUUCUUUUGCUGUAAAAAAGCUUGAGGAAGGUGGCUUGAGAUUCGUCUUAAGUGUUUAUAGCCUCUUGCCUAUGCAGUCGGAGAGAUUGAGGUCUGCAGCGUAGAUCCUUCGGAGCUAAAUGCAUUUGUGCUAAGUUAUAGCAUUUUAUAGACAACUUGUUGACUAUGAUUUGUCUUGUAGCUUACUCGCUUAUGUUAUUUUACCUACGCUUAGGAUGUUGAACGCGCACAGAGUCUC